GAUGAACGCUGGCGGCGUGCCUAAUACAUGCAAGUCGAGCGAACGGACGAGAAGCUUGCUUCUCUGAUGUUAGCGGCGGACGGGUGAGUAACACGUGGAUAACCUACCUAUAAGACUGGGAUAACUUCGGGAAACCGGAGCUAAUACCGGAUAAUAUUUUGAACCGCAUGGUUCAAAAGUGAAAGACGGUCUUGCUGUCACUUAUAGAUGGAUCCGCGCUGCAUUAGCUAGUUGGUAAGGUAACGGCUUACCAAGGCAACGAUGCAUAGCCGACCUGAGGGGGGGAUCGGCACAACUGGAACGGGGCACGGUACCGACCCCUAAGGGAGGGAGCAGGUGGGAAUAUUUGCGAAAGGGGGGAAGGCUGAACAAGCCAAGCCGCGGGGGGGAAGAAGGGUUUUGGAAUGGAAAAACCUUUAUGUUGGGAGAAAAGGAAGUGGGAUAAAACCUUGCUCUUUUGACGUUACCAAAAGAAGAAGCACCGGGUAACUUCGUG
rnacentral:rRNA from 1 species